rnacentral:rRNA from 1 species
GACGAACGCUGGCGGCGUGCUUAACACAUGCAAGUCGAACGGAAAGGCCCUGCUUUUGUGGGGUGCUCGAGUGGCGAACGGGUGAGUAACACGCGAGUAACCUGCCCUUGACUUUGGGAUAACUUCAGGAAACUGGGGCUAAUACCGGAUAGGAGCUCCUGCUUUUUGGUGGGGGUUGGAAAGUUUCGGCGGUUGGGGAUGGACUCGCGGCUUAUCAGCUUGUUGGUGGGGUAGUGGCUUACCAAGGCUUUGACGGGUAGCCGGCCUGAGAGGGUGACCGGCCACAUUGGGACUGAGAUACGGCCCAGACUCCUACGGGAGGCAGCAGUGGGGAAUAUUGCACAAUGGGCGGAAGCCUGAUGCAGCAACGCCGCGUGCGGGAUGACGGCCUUCGGGUUGUAAACCGCUUUCGCCUGUGACGAAGCGUGAGUGACGGUAAUGGGUAAAGAAGCACCGGCUAACUACGUG